UCGGCUCCUCACGAGUGCUAGUUCAUGGCAGAACCCUUUCGAUGGCCGAUGUUGAUCGAACUCCUUUGAUCUUGAUCUGUCGACUCUUCGAAUGCUCUGGAUCAUCAGCAGAGGUGCUUGAGAGGUUGAUGAAUCUCUCUCUGAGAUCUGGUGGGCUCACCACACUCGUAGCUCACUUUCUCACUUCUCGAACCCUAGGCAGU
rnacentral:lncRNA from 1 species